rnacentral:rRNA from 1 species
GAUGAACGCUGGCGGCGUGCCUAAUACAUGCAAGUCGAGCGAACGGACGAGAAGCUUGCUUUUCUGAUGUUAGCGGCGGACGGGAGUAUAACGCGUGGAUAACCUACUUAUAAUACGGGGAACACUUCGGGAAACCGGAUCUAAUCCCGUAGAAUAUCUUGCACCGUGUUGUUCAAUAGUGAAAUACGGUCUUUCUGUCACUUAUAGAGGGAUCCGCGCUGUAUUAGCUAGUUGUUAAGGUAACGGCUUUCCAAGGCAACGAGGCAUAGCCGACGUGAGAGGGUGAUCGCCCACACUGGAACUGAGACACGGUCAAGACUCCUACGGGAGGCAGCAGUAGGGUAUCUUCCGCAAUAGGCGAGAACAUGACGGAGCAGCGCCGCGUGUGAGAUGAAGAUCUUGGGAUCGUAAAACUCUGUUAUUAGGGAAGAACAUAUGUGUAAGUAACUGUGCACAUCUUGACGGUACCUAAUCAGAAAGCCACGGCUAACUACGUG